rnacentral:rRNA from 1 species
GACGAACCGUCCAAACGUUGUUCGGAAUCACUGGGCUUAAAGGGCGCGUAGGCGGCCUUGAAAGUCGGGGGUGAAAUCCCACGGCCUAACCGUGGAAGUGCCUCCGAUACUGCAGGGCUCGAGGGAGGUAGGGGCAGCUGGAACUUCCGGUGGAGCGGUGAAAUGCGUUGAUAAUCGGAAGGAACGCCGGUGGCGAAAGCGAGCUGCUGGACCUCGUGCUGACGCUGAGGCGCGAAGCCAGGGGAGCAA